rnacentral:lncRNA from 1 species
UGAGCCUUCUCUCCAGCCCAACCUACCUAGUUCCUUAAAAUAGAUUCUUAGAUUAUUAGUGGAGGACUUUCUUCUUUUCUAACAACCCAUUUAAAAAACUAUACUUUUCACACUGGGGAUUGCUUUUAGAGGCAUCCCACAGAUUAUAUUUUGUUCUCAUUAAUAUUUGACUCUAAAUGUUUUCCAGUUUUCCUUGUGAUUUCUCUCUCUUACUCAUGGGCUAUUUAGAAGAAGAGAGAUGUCAGCUGGGUGUAGUGGUACACAGCUGCAAAACCAACACUUGGAGGAUGAAGGUGGGAGGAUUAGAAAUCCAAGAUCAGCUGCAGCUACUUCUGGAGUUUAAGACCAGGCUGAGCUUCAUGAGCACCCGCCUCAUAAAAACAUGGGUUCAGUUUCAUCCCGAGCACCCACAUCAAACAGCUGCCCAAGUCUCAUUGCCCACACUGGUCUCAAACUCUUCAUGAAGUCAAACUCCCAAGUGCUGAGAUUAAAGGUGCAGUGAUUACAAAUAUGUAACAUCAUGGCCAGCUUUACAUGGGCUCUGAGGAUCUAAACUCCGGUCCUCAAAUGUGAGCAGCAUUUGCUUUACCCAUCGAACCCUCUCCUCAGCCCUGUGCCAGCCAGCUUUUGUUUAUGGUGGGUGCUGAACAUUUGGACUGCUUCCAUUCUGAGGAAAUUAUGAAUGACACGAAGUCCUGGCAUCCCCAGCACUGCAUAAACCUGCUGAAGAAGUGUAAGCCUGUAAAUCCCAGGAGGAACAGAAGUUCAAGAGCAUCCUUUGUUACAAAUGGAAUCUGAGGCCAGCCCCAGUUAGAGACUCUGUC